GGGGCGUGGCUCGAAAUUUGACCGUUGAGGAAAAGGGUCGUUGCGAUUUGGUGGGAAAUUUGAAUUCUUGAAGAGAAGAGGAGGAGAGAGUAGAGGAGAGAG